GAUGAACGCUGGCGGCGUGCCUAAUACAUGCAAGUCGAGCGAACAGAUGAGGAGCUUGCUCCUCUGACGUUAGCGGCGGACGGGUGAGUAACACGUGGAUAACCUACCUAUAAGACUGGGAUAACUUCGGGAAACCGGAGCUAAUACCGGAUAAUAUAUUGAACCGCAUUGUUCAAUAGUGAAAGACGGUUUUGCUGUCACUUAUAGAUGGAUCCGCGCCGCAUUAGCUAGUUGGUAAGGUAACGGCUUACCAAGGCAACGAUGCGUAGCCGACCUGAGAGGGUGAUCGGCCACACUGGAACUGAGACACGGGCCAGACUCCUAAGGGAGGCAGCAGUAGGGAAUCUUCCGCAAUGGGCGAAAGCCUGACGGAGCAACGCCGCGUGAGUGAUGAAGGUCUUCGGAUCGUAAAACUCUGUUAUUAGGGAAGAACAAAUGUGUAAGUAACUAUGCACGUCUUGACGGUACCUAAUCAGAAAGCCACGGCUAACUACGUG
rnacentral:rRNA from 1 species